UACGUAGGUGGCAAGCGUUAUCCGGAUUUAUUGGGCGUAAAGGGAGCGUAGGCGGACUUUUAAGUGAGAUGUGAAAUACUCGGGCUCAACUUGAGUGCUGCAUUUCAAACUGGAAGUCUAGAGUGCAGGAGAGGAGAAUGGAAUUCCUAGUGUAGCGGUGAAAUGCGUAGAGAUUAGGAAGAACACCAGUGGCGAAGGCGAUUCUCUGGUCUGUAACUGACGCUGAGGUUCGAAAGCGUGGGUAGCAAACAGG
rnacentral:rRNA from 1 species